GAUAUUUUAAGUAUAAUUCCAUUAGACAUCUUGCAUAUGUAUGUUGGAAAAACAACAAAGGAUUAAGAAGAAAAGACGAAACUUAAGAAGUGUACUCUCUCUGUGUUACAUGUAAGAAGUCUAAUUAUUUGGAAAAAUCACUUAGAUUGUUAUUUUAAAAACACGAAGGAAAGGAAUGGAGAUCAAGAUAAAAAAAGGAAAGUGUGCUUCUUGACAGAGAACAAUGAAACAGAAUAAUGGGUUUUGGACUCGAGAACAAUGACCCAUAUGGUUAAUAAACUGGAAUAUUUUAAAAAUAGGAAGAAAUAAUAAUGGAAAGUGGAGUAGUGUGAAGAAAUAUUUCCAUGGAAGCUAAAGCGAAAGUUAGAAUAGAGUCAGAUACUUGAAUAUUGUUUGUGUUCUACACUUGAGACAGAAUUUCUUGUCAGUAAAUCUGAUAACUGGAGAUGGUGGUGAAGUAAUGCUCAAGGAAAAUGAAGUAAUAGUUCAUAAAAACAAAGAAGAAAUAUUUGUAGGGAAGAUGUAUAAUAAUGGACUUUAUACUAGUAGAGAGGAACAAGAAGCUAGUAGAGAGGCACAAGAAAUUGGGGAAUCUAUGUAUAGGGAACAUGAAAGAGUUGUCCAAGAAAGUAUUAGAAAUAAAAUUAAUCAAAAGAGUACUAAAGACAGGAAUUAGAGAACAUAGGAUGUUUUUGUGAAGCAAAGCAAUCGAAGAUUCCAUUUCAGGGGACGACAACAAGGUUGAAAAGCCAGUUAGAAACAAAACAUUCUGAUUUAUGUGAGCUUAUACAGCCAGAGACAUAGAACAGAAAUGGCAGCAGAAACAAAGUGGAAUAACAUACAGAUUUAAAUGCGUAAACGGAAACAGGAGUUUACCAGCCGAGAAUUCAAGAAUUGGUGCAGACAGAAAGUAAUUAUGCUGGAUUAUCCAACUCUGUACACGUCUCAACUAAAUAGAAACACUUAAUCGAACAUAAUUGAAUAAAACACGAGAAUUCCUGUACGACUGAAAUGGAAAAGAAAUUGUGGAUGGAGGCUGCAUACUUUGCAACUUAUCUACGGAAUAAAAGUUCUGCAACAGCAAUGAAUACAAC